rnacentral:rRNA from 1 species
UGAGGAUGACGGCCUAYGGGUUGUAAACCKCUUUUUUCAGGGARGAAUAAAUGRCGUGUACCUGAAGAAUAAGSRUCGGCUAACUCCGUGCCAGCAGCCGCGGUAAGACGGAGGAUGCAAGUGUUAUCCGGAAUCACUGGGCGUAAAGCGUCUGUAGGUGGUUUAAKAAGUCAACUGUUAAAUCUUAABGCUCAACCUUGAAAUCGCMGUCGAAACUAUUAGACUAGAGUAUAGUAGGGGUAAAAGGAAUUUCCAAGUGGAGCGGUGAAAUGCGUAGAUAUGUGGGAAAGAACACCGAUGAGGCACUUUACUGGGCUAUUACUAACACUCAUAGACGAAAGCUAGGGUAGCMAAUGGGAUUAGAUACCCCAGUAGUCCUAGCCGUAAACCAAUGGAUACUA